rnacentral:sRNA from 1 species
GCCAGGUGUGGUGGUGGGCACCUGUAGUCCCAGCUACUUGGGAGGCUGAGGCAGGAGAAUCCCUUGAACCUGGGAGGUGGAGGUUGCAGUGAGCCAAGAUCACACCAUUGCACUCAGCCUGGGCGACAGAGAGAUUCCAUCUCAAAAAAAAAAAGACUAAAUCUCACUCUGUUGCUCAGGCUGGAGUGCAGCGGUGUGAUCUCAGCUCACUGCAACCUCCACCUCCUGGGUUCAAGCAAUUCUCUUGCCUCAA